AUUGAACUUCUAUGCCGUAGGCUCAUUGUAUCAAAUCUGUACACAGCAACUUCACAAAUGCGGUUCUUGCUUUAGAAUCUUUUUAUAAGUGGGCCUUAACUGGUACACCCCUGCAAAACCGCAUUGGAGAAUUGUACUCACUUGUUCGUUUCUUACAAGUUCCCCCUUAUGCUUGUUACUUUUGCGAAGAUUGUAAUUGCACUGGACUUUAUUUUAGCUUCUAUGAUGCGUGCCCACAGUGCUCCCACCAACCUGCAAGCCACUUCCUCUGGUGGAAGAAAUAUAUUGAAGAACCUACAUGGUUAUUCGAUGAUGAAGGUAGAGAUGCGAUGGUGUGGUAUAAUCACAAAAUUCUGAAAAGCCUAUUGCUAAGACGUACCAAAAAAGAGAGAGCUGUUGAUCUUGCACUACCCACAAAGACUGUUAUAGUGAGAAAAGAUUCUUUGGAUGAUAGAGAAAACGACUACUACAAGACACUGUGCCGUAGAAGCCAAGAACAGCUCGAUAUAUUUGUCCAGGAUGGAACUAUGAUUAAUAAGAAUUGCCACAUAUUUGCUAUUAUCACACGACUACGUCAGGUA